rnacentral:lncRNA from 1 species
GUUUCUGUGAUCUUGUGUUGACUGAAAUCUGGACUGGUCUGAUGUCUCUUCCCUCCUUUUCUACAGGAGCGUCAGAUCAUCCCCCGCGACAGAGAGCCCGGACACGCCCUCCCCCGUCCCAGACCCCGCACAUCAACUGGCCGCUGAGGCCAAAGAGCUGGUGGAGGGAGUCUGCUCACUUUGUGUGCAAGACCAUACUGCAGUGCCGCAGGUCUCUGAGGGGUCCGGUAUGACUGGUCCAGUUUUGGAGUGUGCAGUAGAGGUAAAUCACUGGCCUCCUGGAGUUCCUGCCAAAGAAAAGCGCUGUCUGUAGAGAACCAGCCAGAACCUGGACAGAGAAACAUCUGCUACUGUGAAAAUCUCCAUCAGAGAGAGACUGAAGCUCUCAGACUGCUUUCUCUCCCUCACAGACAGACUGUGGAAGUGCAGCGUUAGUAAAGGCGUGAGAGCGAGGAGUGCUUUACUGAUUAAACCACUCGUUAGUGUGUUUUUAAUAAAAACAUUGUAUAUUAAUGUAUUUAACUUACA